UACGUAGGGUGCAAGCGUUGUUCGGAAUUACUGGGCGUAAAGCGCGUGUAGGCGGUUUGGCAAGUCAGACGUGAAAUCCCUCAGCUUAACUGAGGAACUGCAUCUGAUACUGCCAGACUAGAGUGUCGGAGGGGAUGGUGGAAUUCCCGGUGUAGAGGUGAAAUUCGUAGAUAUCGGGAGGAACACCUGUGGCGAAGGCGGCCAUCUGGAAGACAACUGACGCUGAGACGCGAAAGCGUGGGUAGCAAACAGG
rnacentral:rRNA from 1 species